rnacentral:misc_RNA from 1 species
ACUCUUCAACCCGCCCUUUUCUUUGUGAAUAGGUGUCGGAGUUUGGAUUUUGAGCUCUUGCUAUUCGUUUAGCUAGCUCGUAAUACAUUAGCACUUUCGAAUUCGUAAUCGGAUUGACUUGGCGUAAUAGAUUAUUCGCUGAGGAUCAUUCGCAAGAAUGGCCGAGACAAGAUGAGAAAAGCUUCUAAUUAUGCUUUCGAGCAACUUUUCAUU